rnacentral:rRNA from 1 species
UACGUAGGGUGCGAGCGUUAAUCGGAAUUACUGGGCGUAAAGCGUGCGCAGGCGGUUAUAUAAGACAGAUGUGAAAUCCCCGGGCUUAACCUGGGAAUGGCAUUGGUGACUGCACGGCUAGAGUGUGUCAGAGGGGGGUAGAAUUCCACGUGUAGCAGUGAAAUGCGUAGAGAUGUGGAGGAAUACCGAUGGCGAAGGCAGCCCCCUGGGAUAACACUGACGCUCAUGCACGAAAGCGUGGGGAGCAAACAGG